GGAAGGUAUCUCGUAGCUAGGGUUUUGAGGGAGGUAUCAGAGUUCGCCAGGUGUGGGUGGCGGGGCAAGAGCACCUGCAGGAGUGAGAACGUGCAACGCUGUAGUGUUAGCCAAGUACAGUGUGUGCGGGACACAUUCCAGAGCCCCCUGGCCUGGAGCAGAGCAAAUACUUCUGCGCCUGCUGUGUGCCCGCAUUCUGUUCCGUUAGCUCAUUGAGCACAUGCACGAACCUCCGAGGUAGAGGCUGCUGUUCGGGUCACUUCAGAGGAAAGAGAAAACCGAGCCUUGGAGAAAUGAAGUCAUCUGGCCGAUAAGUGGCAGGGAUUCGAACUCAGGCCCCCCCAGCUCCGUGCCUGUUUCAAAGUCACCAGGGGUCGGGGAUGGCAUUUGUGAAGAAAUGGAACUCUGGGUCCUCAUGACUGCUGGACACUCUCAUUUUUUCCCCCUGCACUUCCUGACGAUCUUCCUGUACACCCAAGUCCUGGUCCCCAAGAAGACCCCAGCUUGCAGGAAGAAGAGCUGGCCACAGG